CUCCCUCAAACCGCUGGGUUUGGUGUUGAGCAAUACGACUUGGGUUUGCUUGAAAGACGGUAGUGGUAAGGCGGGAUCGCUUUGACAAUGGCUUAGGUCUAACCAAAAACAUUGCUUGCGGCGGCAACGUCCACCACGUAUAUCUUCAAAC
rnacentral:misc_RNA from 1 species